AGUAAUUCAUGUUUGUUGAUUAGAUUUAUAUGUUUAAAUGUGUAUUUGUGCUAACUGUGUAAUUAGAUAGGAACCUUUUCUAUAGUUCCGUUUGUUGUUGCUAAGAGGGUAUUUUUUGGCUGUCACACUCAGCAAGCUAAUUAAGAGAUGAGCCACGAGGUUUGCACGUCUACAGUAAGAAAGUUGUAAAAGAGUGCCUUUUUUUGGACUACCCCACGACGUAAGGAUUAAAGUUUUUAUUCCCUUUGAGUGAGGCCAAUGAGUUCUGACGGCAUUGUAUCGGCUGUGGUUGGACAUCAUUACAUGUUAAGGCAUGUCGAAGAAUCCUCCUGUCCGAAAUAAAUGUCAGUUUAAAAGCAAA